GUAAACAGGAAUGACAUUGCAAUCCUGCUGGAAUACAGGCUUGCAGAGGAAGGGGAGAAUACCCCUCCUUCUAGUAUUUUUGGCUUAUGUCUUUCUAAGAAGGGGGAGGAAGACAAAAAAUCAUUUACUGUCCCUGUGUUUGCAGCAAAUAAAGCUGGAAGAUGACUCUUAAACUUUCUAGGAAGUAGCCACCAACAUCUUAGCUUGUUGCCUGUCUUGAAGAUGACCCUGUGGGAUGUGACUAUAUGUGGGCCUACAAAACUAUGUGAUCCUGAAAUGCUGAAGUGGAUUCGGAGUUGGAGCAAGCGGGACAUGCCUUCUCAAGAAGUAAAGACCAGAGAAGGAAAAAAACUUAAAAUUAUUUUACCCACAGACAUAACUGAAGUUAUAUUAAGCUGUUUUCUUGGGCAGGUCAUCCAGAGAAGGGAGAAUUAAAAGAUUUUUGUCAAUCUUGUGUUAAUGGUUGUAUUUUAAGGUGUUGCUAUGUAAUUUAACUGUCAUAUCUUCUUUAAAGCCCACUGUGUCCUUUUGAAGAAGAGGAUGAUGGAAAAUUAAUCCUCUGUGAUUGUGUUUAGUGACAAUAAGGUGUAAGGAAAAAGUAGCUAAUGGACACUUAAAUCAGGUAGGUAUUUAUGUUAAGCAAGGGAAUUGAAAUGGAAAGAUAUUGUAUUUGUUUUCAGUUUUUCCCUAGGGUUAACUUUGUCAGUGGUGACAAUCUGUUAUAUUAGUCCAAAGGUUUGAUUGCUUGACUAUAUUAGUUUGUUGCAUCAGUGUAAUACUGUGAGUUAUGUAUUUAAUCAGCAUAGAUAACAGUGGAGCUUUGCUUUCUCAAGGUUUGCUUGUCUUUGUGUUACUUGAUUGACAUUAUUGAUUUUAUUAUUUUAAUUUUUAAAAAACAAAGAAUAAAAUCUUUUUGAUAACUGGUA